GCGUGCUUAACACAUGCAAGUCGAACGACCUUUUUAAGAACGAUUCUUCGGAUGAAGUCUUUUGUGACUGAGUGGCGGGCGGGUGAGUAACGCGUGGAUAACCUGCCGCAUACCGGGGGAUAACAGCUGGAAACAGCUGCUAAUACCGCAUAUGCCCGCAGUGCCGCAUGGCACAGCGGGGAAAACUCCGGUGGUAUGCGAUGGGUCCGCGUCUGAUUAGGCAGUUGGCGGGGUAACGGCCCACCAAACCGACGAUCAGUAGCCGGCCUGAGAGGGCGGACGGCCACACUGGGACUGAGACACGGCCCAGACUCCUGCGGGAGGCAUUAUUGGGGAAUAUUGCACAAUGGGGGAAACCCUGAUGCAGCGACGCCGCGUGAAGGAAGAAGUAUCUCGGUAUGUAAACUUCUAUCAGCAGGGAAGAAAACAGACGGUACCUGACUAAGAAGCCCCGGCUAACUACGUGCCAGCAGCCGCGGUAAUACGUAGGGGGCAAGCGUUAUCCGGAUUUACUGGGUGUAAAGGGGGCGCAGACGGCCAUGGCAAGCCCGGUGUGAAAGGCAGGGGCAUAACCCCUGGACUGCACUGGGAACUGUCAGGCUGGAGUGCCGGAGGGGUAAGCGGAAUUCCUGGUGUAGCGGUGAAAUGCGUAGAUAUCAGGAGGAAUCCCGGCGGCGAAGGCGGCUUACUGG
rnacentral:rRNA from 1 species